rnacentral:rRNA from 1 species
GAUGAACGCUUAGCUACAGGCUUAACACAUGCAAGUCGAGGGGCAGCAUGGUCUUAGCUUGCUAAGGCCGAUGGGACCGGCGCACGGGUGAGUAACACGUAUCCAACCUGCCGUCUACUCUUGGACAGCCUUCUGAAAGGAAGAUUAAUACAAGAUGGCAUCAUGAGUCCGCAUGUUCACAUGAUUAAAGGUAUUCCGGUAGACGAUGGGGAUGCGUUCCAUUAGAUAGUAGGCGGGGUAACGGCCCACCUAGUCUUCGAUGGAUAGGGGUUCUGAGAGGAAGGUCCCCCACAUUGGAACUGAGACACGGUCCAAACUCCUACGGGAGGCAGCAGUGAGGAAUAUUGGUCAAUGGGCGAGACUGUAACCAGCCAAGUAGCGUGAAGGAUGACUGCCCUAUGGGUUGUAAACUUCUUUUAUAAAGGAAUAAAGUCGGGUAUGGAUACCCGUUUGCAUGUACUUUAUGAAUAAGGAUCGGCUAACUCCGUGCCAGCAGCCGCGGUAAUACGGAGGAUCCGAGCGUUAUCCGGAUUUAUUGGGUUUAAAGGGAGCGUAGAUGGAUGUUUAAGUCAGUUGUGAAAGUUUGCGGCUWAACCGUAAAAUUGCAGUUGAUACUGGAUAUCUUGGGUGCAGUUGAGGCAGGCGGAAUUCGUGGUGUAGCGGUGAAAUGCUUAGAUAUCACGAAGAACUCCGAUUGCGAAGCAGCCUGCUAAGCUGCAACUGACAUUGAGGCUCGAAAGUGUGGGUAUCAAACAGGAUUAGAUACCCUGGUAGUCCACACGGUAAACGAUGAAUACUCGCUGUUUGCGAUAUACAGCAAGCGGCCAAGCGAAAGCGUUAAGUAUUCCACCUGGGGAGUACGCCGGCAACGGUGAAACUCAAAGGAAUUGACGGGGGCCCGCACAAGCGGAGGAACAUGUGGUUUAAUUCGAUGAUACGCGAGGAACCUUACCCGGGCUUAAAUUGCAGAUGAAUUACGGUGAAAGCCGUAAGCCGCAAGGCAUCUGUGAAGGUGCUGCAUGGUUGUCGUCAGCUCGUGCCGUGAGGUGUCGGCUUAAGUGCCAUAACGAGCGCAACCCUUGUUGUCAGUUACUAACAGGUUCCGCUGAGGACUCUGACAAGACUGCCAUCGUAAGAUGUGAGGAAGGUGGGGAUGACGUCAAAUCAGCACGGCCCUUACGUCCGGGGCUACACACGUGUUACAAUGGGGGGUACAGAGGGCCGCUACCACGCGAGUGGAUGCCAAUCCCCAAAACCUCUCUCAGUUCGGACUGGAGUCUGCAACCCGACUCCACGAAGCUGGAUUCGCUAGUAAUCGCGCAUCAGCCACGGCGCGGUGAAUACGUUCCCGGGCCUUGUACACACCGCCCGUCAAGCCAUGGGAGCCGGGGGUACCUGAAGUGCGUAACCGCGAGGAGCGCCCUAGGGUAAAACUGGUGACUGGGGC